AAUUAAGUUAAAACAAGUGGACCAAUAAAAAGGUGACAUGUGUCAAAAAUUUAAUAUUUUUAUAUUGCCAUUUAAAAACCAGCCCACACUCUUCCACUCAGCAUUUCAAGGCCGACCAGCACCUGCAGAAAAGAGAAGAAAAGAAAAGAAAAACCCUAGGGAGGAAAAACUAAGGAAAAUUUGUUGAAUUUUCAAGAAAUUGGUGACUAAAGGUGGUGAGCCCUCGAAUAAGGGCAAAGGUAUUGCACCCGAGGAUCAAGACUAGGAGUGUUGUAAAUUCCCGUCAAAGUUCAGGAUAAUCUGUAGGCAGUCGAUUUCAUCAAGGAUUUCUUUUGGACUUACUUCCUUGGAAAUCGUAGGUCUACAUUCUU